UUCGACACACUAUCAUUAACUGAAUCCAUAGGUUAAUGAGGCGAACCGGGGGAACUGAAACAUCUAAGUACCCCGAGGAAAAGAAAUCAACCGAGAUUCCCCCAGUAGCGGCGAGCGAACGGGGAGCAGCCCAGAGCCUGAAUCAGUAUGUGUGUUAGUGGAAGCGUCUGGAAAGGCGCGCGAUACAGGGUGACAGCCCCGUACACAAAAAUGCACAUGCUGUGAGCUCGAUGAGUAGGGCGGGACACGUGGUAUCCUGUCUGAAUAUGGGGGGACCAUCCUCCAAGGCUAAAUACUCCUGACUGACCGAUAGUGAACCAGUACCGUGAGGGAAAGGCGAAAAGAACCCCGGCGAGGGGAGUGAAAAAGAACCUGAAACCGUGUACGUACAAGCAGUGGGAGCACGCUUAGGCGUGUGACUGCGUACCUUUUGUAUAAUGGGUCAGCGACUUAUAUUCUGUAGCAAGGUUAACCGAAUAGGGGAGCCGAAGGGAAACCGAGUCUUAACUGGGCGUUAAGUUGCAGGGUAUAGACCCGAAACCCGGUGAUCUAGCCAUGGGCAGGUUGAAGGUUGGGUAACACUAACUGGAGGACCGAACCGACUAAUGUUGAAAAAUUAGCGGAUGACUUGUGGCUGGGGGUGAAAGGCCAAUCAAACCGGGAGAUAGCUGGUUCUCCCCGAAAGCUAUUUAGGUAGCGCCUCGUGAAUUCAUCUCCGGGGGUAGAGCACUGUUUCGGCAAGGGGGUCAUCCCGACUUACCAACCCGAUGCAAACUGCGAAUACCGGAGAAUGUUAUCACGGGAGACACACGGCGGGUGCUAACGUCCGUCGUGAAGAGGGAAACAACCCAGACCGCCAGCUAAGGUCCCAAAGUCAUGGUUAAGUGGGAAACGAUGUGGGAAGGCCCAGACAGCCAGGAUGUUGGCUUAGAAGCAGCCAUCAUUUAAAGAAAGCGUAAUAGCUCACUGGUCGAGUCGGCCUGCGCGGAAGAUGUAACGGGGCUAAACCAUGCACCGAAGCUGCGGCAGCGACGCUGAUGCGUUGUUGGGUAGGGGAGCGUUCUGUAAGCCUGCGAAGGUGUGCUGUGAGGCAUGCUGGAGGUAUCAGAAGUGCGAAUGCUGACAUAAGUAACGAUAAAGCGGGUGAAAAGCCCGCUCGCCGGAAGACCAAGGGUUCCUGUCCAACGUUAAUCGGGGCAGGGUGAGUCGACCCCUAAGGCGAGGCCGAAAGGCGUAGUCGAUGGGAAACAGGUUAAUAUUCCUGUACUUGGUGUUACUGCGAAGGGGGGACGGAGAAG
rnacentral:rRNA from 1 species